rnacentral:lncRNA from 1 species
GAAAACUUUGUCUGGUAAGAAAUUUGUGGCGUCACCUACUGCCAAUGCUUCACAAUCUAAGAAGCAUGAUUCUGCAAAGAAGGUGAUUGACCUAGAAAUUGAUAGUUCGGAUGAUCAAGAUGAUAGCUUGCUUCAUCACUUAAAGCCUAGUGUGGCUAAGAGGAUGAAGACCAGAAAGGGUAGGUCUGUGGCUAAAAUGAUGUCAGCAAAACUGCUAAGAAGGCUACUGAUGUAGGCCCCUCAAAGUCUUGGAGCAAAGUUGAGGUGAAGAAG